ACUUGCUUUCUUUGCUGGCGACCGGCGCACGGGUGAGUAACACGUAUCCAACCUGCCCUUUACUCGGGGAUAGCCUUUCGAAAGAAAGAUUAAUACCCGGUAGCAUAAUGAUUCCGCAUGGUUUCAUUAUUAAAGGAUUCCGGUAAAGGAUGGGGAUGCGUUCCAUUAGGUUGUUGGUGGGGUAACGGCCCACCAAGCCUUCGAUGGAUAGGGGUUCUGAGAGGAAGGUCCCCCACAUUGGAACUGAGACACGGUCCAA
rnacentral:rRNA from 1 species